rfam:Schistosoma mansoni strain Puerto Rico chromosome 1, complete genome
AUCUUUCUGAAUCCGUGCACAGAUUUCGUCAGACACCAACCCAUUAGGACUGAUCAGACAUCCGAGAUAAGUGAAGUU